rnacentral:rRNA from 1 species
AGGAUGAACGCUGGCGGUAUGCUUAACACAUGCAAGUCGAACGGUCUCUUCGGAGAUAGUGGCGGACGGGUGAGUAACGCGUGAGAAUCUACCUUCAGGUCUGGGACAACAGUUGGAAACGGCUGCUAAUACCGGAUGUGCCCUUGGGUGAAAGACUUGUUACCUGAAGAAGAGCUCGCGUCAGAUUAGCUAGAUGGUGGGGUAAGAGCCUACCAUGGCGACGAUCUGUAGCUGGUCUGAGAGGACGAUCAGCCACACUGGAACUGAGACACGGUCCAGACUCCUACGGGAGGCAGCAGUGGGGAAUUUUCCGCAAUGGGCGAAAGCCUGACGGAGCAAUACCGCGUGAGGGAGGAAGGCUCUUGGGUUGUAAACCUCUUUUCUCUGGGAAGAUAAUGACGGUACCAGAGGAAUAAGCAUCGGCUAACUCCGUGCCAGCAGCCGCGGUAAUACGGAGGAUGCAAGCGUUAUCCGGAAUGAUUGGGCGUAAAGCGUCCGCAGGUGGUUUUGAAAGUCUGCUGUUAAAGCGUCAGGCUCAACCUGAUAAGGGCAGUGGAAACUAUAAGACUAGAGUGCGUUAGGGGCAGAGGGAAUUCCCAGUGUAGCGGUGAAAUGCGUAGAGAUUGGGAAGAACACCGGUGGCGAAGGCGCUCUGCUAUACCGUAACUGACACUGAGGGACGAAAGCUAGGGGAGCGAAUGGGAUUAGAUACCCCAGUAGUCCUAGCCGUAAACGAUGGAUACUAGGCGUUGUCUGUAUCGACCCGGACAGUGCCGUAGCUAACGCGUUAAGUAUCCCGCCU